GAGGAUGAAGAAAGAGAGCAGCUUGUAAAGGAGAUUUCAAAGGACUGGAGUUCUGUUUUUGAAAGAAGCAUAAACACAUUAUUUCUCACUGAAAUGGUUCGGGCUCUGAUGCUGAC